GAAGUGUCUGCUUGUCUGGCAGCGGACAAAGUAACAUAUGACUAUAUAUGGCUUAAUAAAUUAGUUCCGGUUCCGGCCGGAACUUCCGGCCGGAACUUAAAAAAACGGUUCCGGUGCAUCCCUAAUGUAUAUAGAGUAUAUAUAUAUACUACAAAACGAGUACAGAUUAGUUUUGCAAUAUAAAUACCUCACCAUGGCAACACCAUAAAAUUUAUAUACUGAACUACCCGAAAAUUAUUUACAAUGCUG